rnacentral:rRNA from 1 species
CCUACGGGAGGCAGCAGUGAGGAAUAUUGGUCAAUGGACGAGAGUCUGAACCAGCCAAGUAGCGUGAAGGAUGACUGCCCUAUGGGUUGUAAACUUCUUUUAUAUGGGAAUAAAACGUUCCACGUGUGGGAUUUUGUAUGUCCCAUAUGAAUAAGGAUCGGCUAAUUCUGUGCCAGCAGCCGCGGUAAUACGGAGGAUCCGAGCGUUAUCCGGAUUUAUUGGGUUUAAAGGGAGCGUAGGUGGAUUGUUAAGUCAGUUGUGAAAGUUUGCGGCUUAACCGUAAAAUUGCAGUUGAAACUGGCAGUCUUGAGUACAGUAGAGGUGGGCGGAAUUCGUGGUGUAGCGGUGAAAUGCUUAGAUAUCACGAAGAACUCCGAUUGCGAAGGCAGUUCACUGGACUGCAACUGACACUGAGGCUCGAAAGUGUGGGUAUCAAACAGGAUUAGAUACCCCAGUAGUC